AAGUCGUAACAAGGUUUCCGUAGGUGAACCUGCGGAAGGAUCAUUACCGAGUUAGGGUCGCCUUCCAGGUGCCCGACCUCCCAACCCUGUGUCAAAAUUACCUCAGUUGCUUCGGUGGGCCGGGAGCGACCAACUGGCUUAGUAGGCCAGGCUGGCUUCGCGACCGGUGGCCGGGGAAUACCCCGGCGGCAGAGCGUCCACCGAUGGCCUCUACAAAACUCUUGAAACCCAAACCUGUCGUCUGAAUUUACUUGAUGUUAAUCAAAAAAACAAAACUUUCAACAACGGAUCUCUUGGUUCUG
rnacentral:misc_RNA from 1 species